CCGAGUUAUUAUGAUUUUUAUUCGAGACCUUAGCAUUUGGAAUUUUGUUUAAGUUUCCAAAGCAAGUAUGGUUUAUUUUUAUCGAGAAAUCGAAUGAUGCCGGUUUAUGAAAAUUUUUCCGAGCAUAAUAUUUUUUUUAAAUUAUUUUUCUUCCUACGAAGAGGAAUAUUAUAUAUAUGUGAGUGCACUAAUAUGAGUGCUAUAAUUAUUAUUUUGGUCACAUGAAUAUUUAUGAUGUGGUAUUUUAUUAAUGAGUGACAUUACCAUAGUUUUGUGAUUUUAUUUGAUCACCUUUCACACACUUUAUUUAAUUACCCAUACCAUAUGUUAUAUGCCUAAAUUUUGCUAAGUAUAGAAUUGAGAGAGUAGAGAGUUGAGAGUACAUUAGAGAGAGUGUAGAGAUUAGUGAGAGGAAAGUGUAGAGAUUUGAGAGAGAAAGAAGAGAUUAGAGUGAGAAGAUGCAUUAAUUGCAUAUAUUCUCUAAGAUUUUUAAAUCUUAGCCAAGAUCAAUUUCAUAUCUUGCAAAUAUUUCUCUCACCUUUCCUCCACCCCAUUUUCGAUCUCUCUCCCUCUCCCUCAUCUCUCACUUCACUUUCCACCAUUUUUCCUCCAUUGAUGAAACCUUCGAAGCUUCACCCAAGUAUGCCAAACACAUAAAUCACUACUUAAAUCCUCCAUAAACACAUCCUAUUAACUUAAAUUCAAGAGAAUCCUUGAAGAUUGGUUUCAAGAAUAGUGAGAGAAAAUUUGGAUAAUUGGUGAAAACUUGGACACGAGCAGAACAAGGAAGUAAGUAACUCCACGUUGACGGGAGUUUUUGAGUAAGGUCUUCAGGCUAAGCGAGGAGUGAGAUUGGUCUGGUGCUGGUGGGGGAUCGUUAGAUGACGUAUUUGCUUUAUCGUAUUUCCUUUUUAUCGAUAAAGUCUUGAUGUGAAGUUACUUUGAAUAUGAAUCAAGUAAUAUACUCACGGUUAUGUGUCUCCAUACAUGUAACCGGUUCGCCUUUUGCUGCGAUACUCUGCAUAUUAUGUUUCCUUAUGAAAAAUAAGCUAUACCUGUUUUGUUUUUGAUCGUGAAAUUCCUGAUAAUUAAAAAGUUACAACGACGUUGACGAUUUUACCCUUGGGUUCAAUUAAUAAUAUUUUUCUUAGCAUGCUUUGAUGUGA